rnacentral:lncRNA from 1 species
UCGCGCUCAGCCUCUGAGCACCAUUGAGUCACACCAACACCAAAGUUUUAGAGAAACAUUUAUUACAGGGUUGCAGAAUUUAUGUCAAUAUAAAGUCCCUUAUUAAAACUCUCAGGUUUAUCAACUGCAGGACACUAACUCUUCCCUAUCUUUAUCCUGCAGCUUUCAAAAAAAGGAACGAUACUCUUGACUGCAGGAGUAAUAUGCUACUUGCUCAUACAACCACAGUCACAUUCACAAGAAGCUACAAGAUAAACGAAUUCAUAACCAAAAAUACUGACAAGCUUUAAGGGUAACUCCAUCCAAAUCUAACAACUAAAUACCACAAAACCAAACAAAUGUGUAAGAAU